AUUGAACGCUGGCGGCAGGCCUAACACAUGCAAGUCGAGCGGAGCGGCGGACGGGUGAGUAAUGCCUAGGAAUCUGCCUGGUAGUGCUGGAUAACGUCCGGCAACGGGCGCUAAUACCGCAUACUAUCAGAUGAGCCUAGUUCGGAUUAGCUCGUUGGUGGGGUAACGGCUCACCUAGGCGACGAUCCCUAGCUGGUCUGAGAGGAUGACCAGCCACACCGGAACUGAGACACGGUCCAGACUCCUACGGGAGGCAGGAGUGGGGAAUAUUGCACAAUGGGCGCAAGCCUGAUGCAGCCAUGCCGCGUGUGUGAAGAAGGCCUUCGGGUUGUAAAGCACUUUCAGCGGGGAGGCGUUACCCGCAGAAGAAGCACCGGCUAACUCCGUGCCAGCAGCCGCGGUAAUAC
rnacentral:rRNA from 1 species